rnacentral:rRNA from 1 species
AAGAACCGGCGGAAUGGGUGAAGUAACGCGUAGGUAAUCUGCCUUCAGGACGGGGAUAACCCACCGAAAGGUGAGCUAAUACCGGAUGAUGCAGCGGGGCCGCAUGGCCACAGUUGUUAAAUCCUUCGGGAGCCUGGAGAUGAACCUGCGUGCCAUUAGCUAGUUGGUAGGGUCAAAGCCUACCAAGGCGAUGAUGGCUAGGGGGUCUGAGAGGAUGAUCCCCCACACUGGGACUGAGACACGGCCCAGACUCCUACGGGAGGCAGCAGUGAGGAAUCUUGCGCAAUGGGGGCAACCCUGACGCAGCCACGCCGCGUGCUGGAAGACGGCCCUAUGGGUUGUAAACAGCUUUUACUGGGGAAGAACCUGGACCUUUCGAGGACCACUGACGGUACCCAGUGAAUAAGCACCGGCUAACUCCGUGCCAGCAGCCGCGGUAAUACGGAGGGUGCAAGCGUUGUCCGGAAUCAUUGGGUGUAAAGGGUGUGCAGGCGGAAGUCUAAGUCGGAGGUGAAAUCUUGCCGCUUAACGGUAAAAGGGCCUUCGAAACUGGAUUUCUUGAGUUCGGAAGAGGUUGGUGGAAUUCGUGGUGUAGCGGUGAAAUGCAUAGAUAUCACGAAGAACACCGGUGGCGAAGGCGGCCAACUGGUCCGAUACUGACGC